UGAUUCUGCCCGCUUCGGCGGCGACGGCGGCCGGCCGCGGAGGGCUCUGUUUUGGGAUUGAUUUUGGGAAGUGUAGAUACUCAGCCGGUUUCUCCUCUGUUGUACUAUUAGCGGUAGCGGAUUAGGGGUGUUCUAGGGAGCAGUAGUAUGUAGCUAGGUAGGCGGGCAGGGGAACUGAUAUGAGCGGGGAGCUGAUGAGCAUAUGGUUUUUGUAUCGGCUGGAAUGAGAAAUCCUGAUUUGUUUCUUGGCACUGAUGCGACUCUGCUUGCUUAUUGCGCACUUCUGUAGUAUGUGCUCAAGUGCUGAUGUUGCUGAAGUUCUGAUGUUGUUCUUCAUGAUGCCAUUUUGACGUCGAUUGUUGAGCCACGAUUAAUUUUACUACUAAGGAUCCAAGGUCAAUAAUGGCGGCUGGGGCGGCAACUGUAAGCUGAAUGCUGCUGCUGCUGACCCUGUGCGGCCGGCUCCUCACAGCGGGAAGCGUCGCUGUAUGCACUGCAUGCCAGUGAUUUCUUGCUUGGCUUCCAUGCGAGGCAUCUGACGGCGUGAUCACUAAUCAAGCUGUAGCUUCAAGGUUUGAAAUGCCUCCUGUCCAAGCUGCAAUCAGAAACCACAGUGCAGUGACUCGAUCCCACAGUGCCUCCACUGUUCGUGGUUCGUUUGCUUUAGGGUUAGCUGGGCCAGCUGAUUAGUACUACUCCCUCCGUCUAGGUGAGUAAGUCAUUUUAGGUUGUGCACCGUGACCAAGGAGGAGGAGAAAACAAGAAAACUUAAUGUUCAUUUGCUAAUUAAUAGCAUUGCAUGCAAUGAACUAACCACUGCAUGUCGUGUUUGGUAGUCUCAAGUCAUUAAAAGCAUGCACACCUUAUUUCUUUUAUUGGUUGAUAUGUCAAGAAACAAGAAACGAGGUAGAAUUUAAUGCACCGCGCCUAAGUGUUUUGGAAUUAUUUGGUUUUCGUAAGGUGACUUCACUAACGCUCGCAAAGUGUGGUUGACUGUCGGUCGGCACUGUGCCACUGUUUUGUUUUGUUUUGCCAAGGAGAGUUAAUACAGGCGACAUGAAGCAGUGCGUGGUCUUGAAGAUGCAAUUAAUGUGGGUGUGGGUGUGGGAAAUCCGGCAGCAUGAUGUGGCUUUCUCCGCCUCGCAUGCCUGCCUCCUAGCGGCUAUGCGUAUUGCAAUGCGAGGUGUGUGGCCGUGCGUGUGACUAGUGUCAGGGCUUCAUUCAGAACAACACCCCGUGGUCCUGAAACUGAAACAAAUGGAGGGGAGGAGAUCACGGUGACACCGACAGUCUCCGGAUCCCAUGAACGGACGACGACGACGCCCGCCGGGGAGAAGAUAGCCCGUGAGGUGAGGUGGCCCGCGCGGCAGCGACAGAGAGACGGAGAGCCAUUCUUUAACUUUGGCGUGGAACAAACCAGCAUGUGAUGGAAGUGCAGUCUACAUGUGUGAGGCCAACUUCACCGCGCGACCUUAUCCUGUCCGGGCCCGUCCGUUUGGGAUAAAAUGGACAAAAGAGGUGGUCCAACGCGCGGCCUCAAACGGACAAAUGUUCGGAUUCCGUCCGUUUUCGACCCAGCCCCAGCCCAAACUUGCGCUCGGUUUGGGGUGAAACGGCCGAGCGCGGACGGCCGCGACGCACGCCAUUGUCCCCCCGUGGCUCGCCUGUCGGGGACACUAGCAGUCCCUCCGCUCCCAACGCUUCACCCUCUCUCCCCGCCCCGCCCCGCCGCCGGCGCCGCCCCUAUUCUCUGGCCGCCUCCUCACCGCGCAGCCCCGCGCCGUCCAUACCAAACUACGUCUCGACAUGGCCGCCACCACGCCCGCGCUUUCACCGUAGUUUUGGUCGUCUAUCGGGGGAGGUUUGGCCGUCGCCGUCCUUGCCGGUGGCGGAGGGGACACGACUGUCGGCGACGGACCAAGGCGGAUUCCGAUGAGAGCUCCAGAGCGGCCAGUAGCCGGCCGGCAACCAUCCCUGCUGCGUCGAGGUGAUCAUCGCGACCUCUUCACCACCACAACCGGAAGGUGUUCGACUUUUUGCCAUCAAAGGUAUGGACAGUGGAGAUGAGUUUUUCUUUCAUCACUUCCUUUGUUCGUCGGACGAUUUGUCGUCGGAUGAUGAAGACCUUGUGGUGGCUGCACUGAUCGUUCACGACCAUAUUCAACGGCAGCUUCCUCGGUACAGGGGGUCACUCCCUGGCCGUGCUCCCAACCUGAACCGCAACAGGGAGAGAGGCCACGCCCUGCUUUAUGCCGAUUACUUUGCCAACACCCCGCUCUUCAAGCAGGAUAAAUUUCAUCGCCGUUUUCGUAUGGCAAGGCAUGUGUUCAAUCGUAUCCGAAAGGGAGUGGUUGCUCAUGACCCAUACUUCGAGUGCAAGACGGAUGCCCUUGGCGCUUGGAUUCUCCUUUUACCAGAAAUGCACCGCGGCCAUCCGCAUGCUUGCAUAUGGUAUUCCAGGCGAUCUAGUGGACGAGUAUGUGCGUAUGAGUGAGACAACAUGUCUGAUAUCAAUGUACAAAUUUUGCCAGGCCGUGAUCGAGGUGUUUAGCCCAGAGUGCCUGAGGCAGCUAACUGCCGCUGAUACAGAGAGAUUGUUGACGACCAACGCAGCUAGAGGCUUUCCAGGCAUGCUUGGCAGCAUAGAUUGUAUGCAUUGGGAGUGGAAGAACUGUCCAUUUGCUUGGCAGGGCCAGUACAAGGGGCGUGUUAACGGGUGCACUGUCAUAUUAGAAGCGGUGGCAUCGCAAGAUCUUUGGAUAUGGCAUUCUUUUUUCGGCACGGCAGGUUCUCACAAUGAUAUCAACGUGCUGCAGCGCUCUCCAGUCUUCGCAAGGCUUGCAGAAGGCCACUCCUCACCUGUCAACUUUGAGAUCAAUGGCCACCAGUACAACAAGGGAUACUAUUUAGCAGAUGGUAUAUAUCCUCAAUGGUUAACUUUUGUGAAGACAAUCUUGAAACCCCAAGGUGAGAAGAGAAAGAGAUUUGCCCAAAUGCAAGAUAGUGUUAGAAAGGAUGUGGAACGUGCUUUUGGUGUGCUUCAAUCCCGGCGGGGUAUCGUUCGAAACCCUGCACUGUCAUGGGAUGAAAGGAAGCUUUGGGAGGUGAUGACUGCUAGUGUGAUUAUGCACAACAUGAUCGUCGAGGACGAGCGUGAUGAGAGUAUCUUCGACCAAGGAUUUGAUUAUCAAGGUGAAAAUAUUGAGCCCCUGCACCAAGACCCGGCCACAUUUGAACAGUUUGUCCAAUUCCACCGUGAGAUGCGUGAUUGGCACACUCAUUUGAAUCUUCAAAAUGAUUUGGUUGAGCACGUCUGGGAUCAUAUUGGCAACCAAUAGAUGUAUUGGUUCAAUUUAUGUUCAGUCAAGACAAUUUCGAUUUGGUUAUAAAACUAUUUUAUUAAAGACAAUUUCAAUUGAGUUGUAAAACUAUUUUAAUUUUCAGACAAAUAGUUGGGUUGGAAACUAGUUUUGAUACAAAUUUGGGCAAAAUGCCCUGACGGACAGGAUGGGCAAAUGGAUGCGGCCGCGCGCUGGGCCGAACGCCACCGCAUCCCAGGACAGGCCCGGACACGACCCAAAAUCCUUACCCAAAUGGAUAGAAACCGGACAAAACGGACGUCCGUUUGGGGUCGCGCGGUGGAGUUUGCCUGAGCUUCCACUGGCACAACGGUAUAGUAGCAAUCUAAUGAUAUCCAUACCGUACUCAUGUUUGGGAUUGGUCGCGAGUAGUUGUCUUUUUUUUUUCCUGCGUUUUCUGAACGACAAGCACACCCGAGGCUUGCAGAAAUGCCAGGAUGGAUCCGAGACAGCAACGCGGCACCGGCGAAACUUGGAACCGGAUUUGAUCGACGCAGGGAAUUUCGCCCUUGACGUACGGCUUUGCUCUGCUUUCCUUUUCUUUUCCGUUUAGUCGAGGGAGUUCGUUGCUGCGCAAGCGCCCCCAACCACUCCAUGACACUGAGGGACACGGUCAGAUCCUUCAGGCUGAAGCCAGAUACGAUUCGAUAUUAACAUCACAUCUAACUGGCCGCAGAAAAGAAUUUGCCAUUUUUGUCCCAUCGCGAUAGACAUGUAAUCGUCCCAAUCUAGCACUCACAAGCGUGUAAAAGCACAGUGGGUCUGCACACAUUAUGUCUGUCGAAUUGGACAGUGUCGGUAUGUUGAAUAUUCACCUGUUUCCCCACUUUUCGCACUGAUGGUGAAGACUUGGUCAAGGGUAUAUGUUCAAACAGUACCGUAUUUUGUACUGUCCAGAUUCGAUCUUACGACUCGGCUCACACCUUUCCAUGUGGUAGUGAGUGCGUGCAUACAGCAAUGCGCCAAUGCCCCAGUGUCUAGUCCUACUGCAGUCAUGUGCUUAGCCCCUGUGAAGAUACGAAACGCAAACUUACGUUGCACACGCUCAGUUACAUCAGAAUCUGGUGGCCGCACAUUAUGUUUACACUCCACACAUUCGGUGCCUUGGUAUUUCAUUUCUUGGACCGGAAGCAUGGCUCGCUUUGGUGUUUUUCCUCUGUCUAAGAAAAUCGAAUAUUCAGGUUUGUUCGACUGUAUCAUUUGCGUAGCUGCGUAUUUAAAUGCUCUUAUCCUGGUAGGCUUCCCUUGGCUACCAAGACAAACACAAUUUGCAGCCAGUAGCCUACUUUUACACGGGCCCCAGCUGAAAUAUUCUUUUUUUUGCGGGGGCCCAGCUGAAAUAUUCGUAGUGAGAAAGGUGUGGCUGCUCCCGGAUGUAGGCGCACCUGCAUAAACAGUAAAUUCAGGAGAAGAAAAUAAUAAUCAGAAAUCAGAAAUUUUGGGACAUCAAACUAGAUCAAAAGUUUUAGCUUCUUGCGAAAUUUCGUGAGCAAAUAACAUCCAAGGAGCCCUCACACACAAAAAAUCACUACUCAAAAGUGCACAAUACAUUGAACAUUGAUGUUAUUUUUGGCGAGGGCUUCUCGAAUGUUAUUUGUGGAUGAAUUUUUUAAUACAUUUUUCAAUCUAGUUUGACGUACCAAAAUUUCAGAUUUUUCGUAUUUUUGAACUCACUGUUCAUGAAGAGUGUAGGUGCACCUGUAUGAACAGUAAAUUCAGAAGAAAAAAGGGAAAUCUGAAAUUUUGAGACAUCAAACUAGAUCAAAAGUUUUAGCUUCUUGCAAAAAAAACGUGAGCAAAUAACAUUCAAGGAGCCCUCACAAAAAAAACCCACUACUCAUAAGUGCACAAAAGAUUGAACAUUGAUUUUGUUAUUUUUGGUGAGGGCCUCUCGAAUGUUAUUUGUGGAUGAAAAUUUGAAAUUAAUUUUUUGAAAUAGUUUGAUGUCCCAAAAUUUAGAAUUUUUUCUAAAUUUACUGUUCAUGAAGAGUGUAGGUGCAGCGGCGGAGGCGGAGCCACAUCCCCAAACCUGGGCACGUCAGUACGAAGAAAGUCAAUUAUUUUUUACUAGCCUGGCCUAGUUUACCCAUCAAUCUUCAUUAAAAUUGCUACAGGAUGGACGGGGCAUAGGCUAUUUCGCUAAGACGUAGCUUCGCCAGUGUGUAGGUGCACCCGUGAAUAGAAAAUCCACUUUCGUAUCAUAGUACUAGAUGAUCACAUUCACAUUGAGAUGGCACGAGCAUGCCAAUCAAAUACGUACCAUCUGCGGAAUGAAAUGAGUGUUUUCUAACUAGGUGAUUGAAUAGAAAAUGAGGGUCUUUAGAAAAGCAAAGAUAUGAAGAAGAAAAGAAGGGCCAGAGUCUGCUCCACUUCAACAACCACGCAGCUGUCCCCCGUGUUUAUGCUCCGAGCCUCCGACAGCAGUGUCACGAACCCAAAUCCUGUGGGAAAAUGUGGACAAAAGUUCGUCAUGCUCCAUAGAAUUGACCUGGGGGGCAUGGUUAGCUUCAAAGAUUCACAAAUAAAGGCACAUGCAAGGUAAACUGUGGGGGUUGAUAUAAGACAAGAAAGGUGUCGAUUGGAGUUUUUUGCAAGCAGACAGAGUACGCCUCUUGAAGCUAACUUUCGCAUGUGCAAAUCAUUUUUAUGGGGGCUCGCGUGUGCAAAUUAGGAAGUGAUAUUUCACCUCUUCCACUAACAAAUGUAAACAUUACCCCACUGUCUUAUAACACUAAUCUUCAUAUGUAAGAUAAAGCUGAACAAACCACCUCUUAACAAGAACUCAUGCAGAUGUGUUAUAUGUUUUGUUCAUGGCACACCAAAUUAUCAUUUAUUUGUCGGCAUUUAUGAGCACGAUACAGUUGCAUAAUCAUGGAAAUACAUAGAAAUUAACCGUCUUCCACUGCAACAAAUGGAUCCACGUCCAUAAGUUAAAGAUGGAGCAAUACAGCUGGAGGGGAACUUUUGCUCUAUGGGUGUAUAUACACCCUAUAUGAAAAAACAGUAAUUAAAUAAAAAGUCAACAAAUUAUGAAUAUAUUUUUGGAAUAAACUUCACCUUUCAUUGUACCGUUGCGUCGUCGACGUCGAGCCACGCUUCCUAGGCGCCAGCCUCAUGGGCACAGUCCCCUUGGGCGUGCUCGGCAACCUCAGAGUGCCCCGCACACUUUCCCUUCGUUGGAACACACUCAUGGCCCCAUGCCCAAUGACAUUCUUUUUAGAGGAAAAGGGCAUCUGUUCAUCAGAAACAAAACCAAACAGGGUAUGGUUUAUUACAGCAUGCGGGGGAAGAUUGAUGUAUCAACUCUGACAACAUUCAGGUUAACAGAAAAACAAAAAACAAGGCCCCAGUCUUAUAGGUGGAAAACCAGAGUCUAACGAAGAGCAGAUGGGCGAACAACAGAUUUUUAUCCCCCCAUGACCACCAUGUUGUCAACACCCAUCGACCCUCCCGCCUUUCUCAAAGAGUAUUGCAGCCACAACUCUCGUUUCCACAGCCGGGCUCUGGCAUGAGCAGCAGUGGUGCUCUUUUGGCAACCUACCACAGAGACAUUGUGAACCUCUCUACGCGCUCUUUGUGCCUCCCUUACAUCAUGCCCAAUGACAUCCCAACGCGACCGAGCAUUGUGCUGUGUAGUUCCAGCACAACGACUUCUCCGGCGAGAUCUUAGUGUCGCUCUUCAUGCUCAAGAACCUAGUGUGUCUCAACAUUGGGGGAACAAGUUUUUGGGCAAGAUUUCCCUGGAUUUCAAUAAGUUGAACCGGCUCGGGUAGCGGAGGCGCUAACCGAUAGUUUGGGUCCCAGCAAGCGGUUUUGUUGAGAUUGGUGGCGGUAAGAAGAGGAAGCUCAGUUUUUUGGGGGAAGGGAGGAGCUUAGUUCACGCUGGAAUGUAGGUCCAAGCGGAUAUUGUUUGUAAAAGGGGUUGUUAGUGCCACCAAUUAACUAAAGUUGGAUAAAAAUGUGAACAAGCUACUAAAUGAGGUAUUUUGUGUCACAAAGGUGAAACUAAUAAGGGGUAGAAAGUGAGAUUAACUCAAAAAAAA
rnacentral:lncRNA from 1 species